UCUACUGUGAAGCCAUGUGGUCGGUGUGGCUGCCUCCUGUCUUGGGUGUUUCCUUAAAGACGAAGAUGCUAGUGGUGGUUUUCCUCCAUGGGUAUCUUGGGAUGGAGGCAGAAAACACUCCAUGAGCUUCUCUGGUCUGUCAUCCACCUGUUUGCGUAUCAGCGGUAGAAAUCUCUGGUAGCCGUUACAGGGACCCUCCAUAUAGGAAGGCGGCUCCUCUGAUCAUGGGGUGAGAUGUAUUCUGUGUCUCAACUAAAAUUGUGAUUUUAGGAACCAUGUUUUUGGUUAAUUUGAGCUCAGAAACACGAGAUUUAUGUUUCUCAGAUUUCAUAGCAAGGGCAUUUUAAAGAGGAAAAUGUGCCGUUCUCGGGGAGGGAACACGCCCAUUCUUUGGUGGCUUGGUUUUGAAGAAGCGUUUCCUCUCUGGUGAAGAAAAGCCCUUCGUCUGAGAGCUGAUGUGCUCCUUCAUUGUGACGGGUUAGAGAGGCGGGAGGACAUGCUUUCAGGUUAUUAGCUGAAAAUGACAUGAAUUCUCCAGGCUAGAAUCCAUUUCUAAGUAUUUCCUAUUCUUCAUCCAAGCUGGUUAGUGAAGCAGGGUCCUGGUCCAUCUUGCCAUUGGAUAUAUUUGUUUUUGAAAUUAGGAAGUAUUUUAAAAAUUCAGAGUCAGGAUUUUGAUGAAGAGGUAAAUGUCAGUAGCCAUCACUUAGAACAAAAUCUAUUACUAAAAACUAAUAAAGGUCAUUUGACAAUUUGAUUGAAAUUAGUUUUUAUGAAGUUAAACUAUUUCAGCUUCCUUUGGUACUCACAUCUAUUACAACUAGUGUCUUAAGCAUGCAAGCCAGGAAAUAGUGAGAACUAUACUGAUUGCAUCGUAUGAUUUUAACACAAAGAUGAGCAUAUUCUAGUAAUGUGUAAUUCAACUUUUAAAGGAAUUAGCCGUAUUCUUGAAAAGAGAACAAAGUAGGUAUUAGUGUAUAAAAUCAUAUUUUCUUAUUGAUUCAUUGUAAUUUCACAUGGCCAUUCCCACGUGAGAAAAAACUUAGCACAUGAAAACACGAUUUUAAGUCCUACCAGAUGCUGGAAGGGGUGUGCCCGUUGGUGGAAAUGGCUUUCCUGUGUCGCCCUCAUCGCGCCUGGGGUUGGUCAGUGAAGAAUGGUCCACACUGACGGGAGGAUCAUUUAUUUGUCAUGAGCGCCUGCAGAGGCCAAGGCCCUGCUCGGCCCCCUGGGGAGCUGAGCCUGGGGAAACCCUCCCGUCCUUCAGUGCAUGGUUGUGCUGCUCCCGGGCUCCUAGUGAGAGCCCAGCGAGGGGACUUGGCCUCCCCUGUCCACCGGGUUCCUUCCAUGCAAGGACGCUGUUGACUAAGAAGGGCGACACACCAGUCAUGCGCCACCCCGUUCCCACACCAGGUCCCCAGAGGAACAGGAGGUGGGCAGAGACGGCGGCCCCUUGAGUGCGUGCGGUCAGGGUCCCGCAGCUCACAUUCCACUCGAGGUGCCUUCUCACCGAUCUCUCCCAGCCUCCUCCCAGAGACCCUCGGAGGUGCCGCCGUCAACACGGAUGGAUCUGCCUGUACCCACACGCUCCCUCCUCACGGGAGAUGUUGCUGUUCCACGUCUUCAGCACGGCUGGGGCCUGUUGUGGGGCAGCCAGGAGUGACCGGCCUGGCCCAGUGUCCGUGGACCCUCUUCUGUAUGAAGCCUUCUCUUGUCCACGCCUCCCUGUUUUGCUUGUCUCCUCGUAAGGGCUCGGUCACCUGAAUUCACUGGCUGUGCCGUCCUCUUUCUCCCUGCUGAGUCUCCUUCCUCCCUCCUUCCGUACGAUACCCUCACUCUGUUAAUUAAGGCCCCGUCAGAAUGCAAAGCAAGAGUGCACCCUGUUCCCAUUUUAUUAGGAAACUUCACAGACUUUGUGUGAGGUAGCUCUCUAACCAGCAGCCCCAGCUCUUCUAAUAAUGGUUUAUUGGACCUGAAGAACAAACAAGAGGCUUUCAGAAGGAGGUCGCGUCUAAGGAGCAUUCGGUCGUCAUUCAGGGAUCACGCCUAGAACAGACCUCUGCUGACUUUUGCUCUGACGUUUUCUGUGAGGGUGGAUGAGCAAGUGGGAUUUCUAAAUUCAGGUGAGAAUCUUAGCUGUGCACGCUGGCUGUUGUCCAGCUUAAAUGCUCUGUGGAGGAGGUGGCUGGAGCAGGGUGGUCGUGCCUGUGUCAGCAGGGGGCAGAGUCCAGGAUCUAGGCUUAGUCCAGACGUUUGAUUCAGCCAGGAAAGCACGUGACAAAGAACCAGAGCCUCAACCCUUCACUUCAACCCACCUGGCGUGCAGAGCGGGCCGCGUUCAUUCGUCUUAAAGAGUCUAGUCCUCGCUUACGUAACACUAGCACUUUGCGAAGGAAGGAGGGAGUAAUUUGGGAGGUUAUUAUCUAAACUAGAGAAGUAAUCAGUGGCGAAGGCCCAUUUGUCUUUUCAAAAUAGCUUAUAGGAGACUGUACUUGACAACGUGCUCACAGUUUUGCAUAUUCAAUUACACAAUUGAAGAAUCAUAGCAUCACUCAUCUUUCAAAAAAACUUUCCAGGAACUUCCUGAAGUUGAAAAGAGUCUUAUUAUAGCAGGUAAAAAUUACCGGUUCCCUGGCACAUUUCUUGUGCGUAUUGUUUGCUGUGUUCUGUGCUCUGACACACGCCCGGCGUCGUACCCGGAAGUCAAGGACGUAAUCCUGGCUCUGAACUGGGAAGCCCCCAUCCACGGAGAUUUGGUAAAAACAGUGAUAUUACUCCACUGCGGUCGCUGUUAGGGUUAGUAUCAGUGAGCUAACGACUUACGCGUAUUCAACAAACUAUUAUUUUAAAAGCAUCUUUUAAUUGGUUAUUCACCAGCUAUUUGAAUACACACGCACACACGCACGCACGCACACACACGCGUGCGCUGUCUGGAAACUCUGGUGGAGCUGUUUUACGGGCCUACAGCCCCUGCUCUGCUGAGGACGUCCAUGGAGCUCAUGAGAUUUAGCCUCUCUGAGUGAGGGCGUGCAGCUUUGCAAGCAGGCGCUCGCCUCAGGGGUGUGAUUUGAGGGGCUUCAGAAAACUUCUCCCAAAUUUCCUGCUGUAAUGCUUGUUUUCCUCCUUCAGAAAUUAAUCCCAGAGGGUCUUCAAGGCUUUUUGUUUCCAAGAGUCCCCAGUUAAACUUGAAAAAUACCUCUGAAAUCUAAAAUAUAGAGCGUUGUGGUUUUAUCUCCCUCAGGGUCUACAUACAGCAUGGAUCCUCUAGAAUGAGCCCCAGACAAGUGACCCUGGGGUCUGAGACCCUGACAGAGGGAUCGGGAGAUGGGACCAGAUGAUGUUGCUUAGGGCUUUGUGUCCUUUGUCAGGGGACGUUGUUCUCUCCUUCUACUCACUGUGUGUAGAUGGACAGGAAGCACAGGCUCAAUUCACGACGGUUCCUGGAGUGGCUCAAGUCGAGAAGGAUGGCUUUAAUAGAAGAAACGAGUUUGGGCUGUUUCAUAGACUCUGCCAACAUCCGCCAGGUCCUUAGCAAGUCGCUUUGCUGCCUCCACCAGAUUUAUCCAGAUCCAGCCAGGGCCACGGCCGGCUCCCCUGGGCCUGUGGUUCCCCCCUGAGGUUGUGCCCCUAUCUGCGUCCUCCUAGCCUGCACCCCAGACAGCUCCCCGCUCACUUCAGUCUCCACGGGUGGCGCCUCCUUCCUCACCUCCUUCUCACAGGCCUCUCUCUUUCAGGAAUUAAGGAAGAAAUGCACAAAGCGCUCUUGGAAACCUGUUUGAAAUUGUGAUAGAGCAUGCCCAAAACAGGUGCUUCCUGGCUCAGAAAGCUGAGCUCCUGGGAGGCUGUGUCUUGGUCAACGUGGUUCAGCUGGAGGUGCAGGGGUUUCUGUCUGCGGUGAAUGAGCCCUCUCACACCAGCUGCCUCCCCUCGUCACAGCAGGCUUGUCGGGGUCUGCAGUAAGAACCAUGUCGCGCUCAGUGCUUACUAUCUGCCUGACGAUUUAAAGUACGUGUUCUUAUUUAACCUCCCUACAACAUGGGAGGGCCCUGCCAGUGUAGUUCCAAUUUCACAUAUGAAGACGUCGCGACUGGGCUAGCAAGGCAUUUUCCCAUCUUCCUGCAGCUAAUAAAUGCUGCAGUCGCAAUGCCCCCUGGGUCCUUCCGGCUCCUGGAUGCCUGUGUUCUCUCUGGUACAACAGAAUGAUUACUCCCAGUCUCAAUUUUUUUAAUCAGAUUUUUGAAAGACCCAAGCUAUUUAAUUUUUUUUUUAGUGAAUAUGGAUAGUCAGGAGCUAUCUGUAUAUAUUUUGAACUUUUGAACCAACUCAUCGGUGUCAGAAAGUUGAGAAGCAUUUGUUAAACUCCUGUGUGCUGGCCCCCAUACAGAAUUCAAUAGAGCCAUUAGCCUCUCAUAAAUUGAUCAGAAAAAAAUAUGAACAGAAUGAAGAACAGGAGAAGACAGUAGAGACUCAUGUGCUAGUCUGUGAAGUUGGGAUCAUGAUUCUGCAGAGUUUAGGUAGAACUCACUAGAGGUGGUGCUGGACCUGGGUCUUGAAGGGAAUCUGGAGUUAAUACGUGAGAGUAGGUCCAGGGCUUCCCAAGAAGACGGAGCAUCAGAAGGGGUCUCGUCAGGUGGGUGUGUGAUGUCCUGGUCCUGGAGGUCUCUUGCAGGGCUCCAGCCCACCCAUCAUGGAGCAUGUGCAUCAGAGUGCCUCUGAGAUGGGCAAUGCUGGCAUCUCCUUGCCUAGAAAACGGACAGAUGAUGCUGUCACUUUGUGUGGUGACCAGGGGCCAGCAGGGACAUGUCUCACUGUGUUCUGUAGGGUUUCCAUACCCCAGGGCUGCUAAGGAACAUUCCCAGAGACCCUGGAAGCAAGCAGCAGAGACUGACCCACCUCUGCAAGGGGUCUGCUAUUUGCUGGUGGGCGCUUCUCCCCCGUCCUCUUCAUGCCGCCAGCUUCAUCCCAGGCUCGGAGAGUCUUUCAGGGCCAGUGAAUCACUGUAUCCCACUGCCUGCUUUUGUAAAGAAAGUUUUAUUGUACCACAGCCACACCCACUGUUCUGUACCGCCUGUGGCUUCUUUCCUGCUACAAUGGUAGUUGUGAGAGAGAGCGUGUCAUCCUCAAAGCCUAAAAUAUUUACUCUCUGGCCCUUUAUAGAAAAUGUUCACUGAGCUCUGUGCUAAUUGUCCUUCUGUCCUUAUCAUACUUUUCUCUGGCCAGGCAGAGACAUUUCUCAAACUUUUUCUCUGUUGGGACUUUAUUCUGUCAACACUGAUUUAGACUGAUGUUUGGUGCAAAAGUAAACAGAGCUAUAAAGGAGGAAGCAUGAGUAAUUAAUUUGACCCCAGGGUAUCUUCGUGUGAUUCCAUUCUGCAUUAAGUCAGGAAGUCUUCCUGCGAACAAAUCGUAUUUAAUAUCUUAUUUGUUGGCUCACCAGCUCUUGGGUGCCCUGUAAGCUGCAUUUGCUCUCAGACUCAGCCAGGCUCACCCUCCUGAGGUUGACCAGCAGUCCCAGUGGCCAAGAGCCUGGAGAUACCAGUGGCUCUUGUCCUUGUUUAUUCUGUACAUAUUGGGCUGUAAGCGUACAUUCCUCUGGGCAGAAAUUAAAGUUAAUUCAUCCUUGUAAUCAAAUUGGGCACUCCUAAAUUAAGUAACUCAUGAUAUUUAAACAAAGUUCAUAAUUUUUACGUUAAUUGGCUAUUUUAUUCUAGAUCUUGUUCUUUUUCAACUGGAAAUAUUUUGUUAAUUCAAAGGGAACACAUUUCAACAGUCACUUCAGCUGAAAAAUCAUCGCUAAUUGAGAUUUCGUCUUCCUGUCUGUUAAAGAACUAUUUGGUGCCUUAUUUGUGUGAUUUACUUUUCAAACCCUCAAAUCCGAUACGUACAAUGACCAGCUGAUGCAGCUGAAAUAGCUGCUAGUGAGGAGCGGUGAGAAGAGCAGCCUUGGGCUUCUGGAGCUGAGAUAGACACGUUUCCAGAGAGCGAUGGCCACUCGUCCACUCGUCAGAUAUCUUCAAGUCAUGAGAGGAAGCAACUGAGAAGGUGGCUUGAACACAGCUCUACACGUGUCACUGUCUGGAGCUGAGGAACCUCUCCUCGUCAUGGUUUUUCAUCUUGAGAUAAUUGUAUCAAGCUGAGAAGAAUCAGGACCAGAGCAUCACCACCCCAUGAUAACUCCACAAAGGACCAGGAAGAGUUUGCUGUCCUCAUCUGGUGGUGGAAACCAUUUCUGGGUUUGAAGAUUACAGCGCCCGUUUCCUCGGAGGCAUCACGGGAUGUGUCAUACGAGGACCCUGCCCGUCACUCAUAUUAAGACAAUUUCCUUAAUUUGUCACUGCAUUCGUCUCCGCAUCUGAAAACUGAAAAGAACCACAAUAGCAGAAGAACGGAAGAAGCUCUAUUACUAUUUAGAUAUUUGUUUUGCCAUUUUUGCAUCAAAAAUAUUGAAAACUGAAAUUAAACAUCUAUAAAGUA